GGGCGAUUAGCUCAGCUGGGAGAGCGCCUGCCUUACAAGCAGGAAGUCGGCGGUUCGAGCCCGUCAUCGCCCACCA
rnacentral:tRNA from 4 species